rnacentral:rRNA from 1 species
ACGGAAGGCAGCAGCUAAGAAUAUUCCGCAAUGGGGGAAACCCUGACGGAGCGACGCCGCGUGGAUGAUGAAGGCCGGAAGGUUGUAAAAUCCUUUUAUUACCGAGGAAUAAGCAUUUCAGGGAAUGGGAGUGUGGUGACUGUAGGUAAUGAAUAAGCAACGGCUAAUUACGUGCCAGCAGCCGCGGUAACACGUAAGUUGCGAGCGUUGUUCGGAAUUAUUGGGCGUAAAGGGCAUGUAGGCGGCCGCUCAAGUCUGGAGUGAAAUGCACGGGCUCAACCCGUGAACUGCUUUGGAAACUGGGGGGGGCUAGAGUCGCCGAGGCGGAGCCGGAAUUCCAGGUGUAGGGGUGAAAUCUGUAGAUAUCUGGAAGAACACCGAUGGCGAAGGCAGGCUUCGAGCGGACGACUGACGCUGAGGUGCGAAGGUGCGGGGAGCAAACAGGAUUAGAUACCCUGGUA